rnacentral:rRNA from 1 species
UACGAAGGGGGCUAGCGUUGCUCGGAAUCACUGGGCGUAAAGGGUGCGUAGGCGGGUCUUUAAGUCAGGGGUGAAAUCCUGGAGCUCAACUCCAGAACUGCCUUUGAUACUGAAGAUCUUGAGUUCGGGAGAGGUGAGUGGAACUGCGAGUGUAGAGGUGAAAUUCGUAGAUAUCGGGAGGAACACCAGUGGCGAAGGCGGCGAUCUGGGUUGAUACUGACGCUGAGGUGCGAAAGCGUGGGGAGCAAACAGG